UACCAUACUUGGAGUUCAUCAAAGAGGACAACAGAACCCGAAGUGCCCAGGAUGAUAUUUUUACACAAGCUGUAAAUAUGGCAGGAUUGCCAGCAGUGAGUAUCCCUGUUGCACUCUCAAACCAAGGGUUGCCAAUAGGACUGCAGUUUAUUGGACGUGCGUUUUGUGACCAGCAGCUUCUUACAGUAGCCAAAUGGUUUGAAAAACAAGUACAGUUUCCUGUUAUUCAACUUCAAGAACUCAUGGAUGAUUGUUCAGCAGUCCUUGAAAAUGAAAAGUUAGCCUCUGUCUCUCUAAAACAGUAAACAUAUCUUACAAAUUAAAAUGACUUUUAGGCUGGGUGCAGUGGCUCACACCUGUAAUCCCAGCACUUUGGGAGGCCAAGGCGAGCGGAUCAUGAGGUCAGAAGAUCUAGAACAGCCUGGUCAACAUGGUGAAACCCCGUCUCUACUAAAAAUACAAAAAUUAGCCAGGCUUAGUGGCGGGCAUCUGUAGUCCCAGCUACUCAGGAGGCUGAGGCAGGAGAAUCACUUGAACCCUGGAGGUGGAGGUUGCAGUGAGCCGAGAUCAUGCCACUGCACUGCACUCCAGCCUGGGUGACAAAGCAAGACUGUGUCUCAAAAUAAAUAAAUAAAAUAAAAUAAAAUGACGUACAGAGAUUCU
rnacentral:lncRNA from 10 species